CGAAAAGAAAAAAAAUCUCCCGUACCUUAUCCGGCUUCCCCUCCCCCCGUCGCGCACUUUCCCUCGCAACCACCCCCGAUCCCACCCGCAACCCCCCGACCAACUGCCCCCGGCUCCGGCGCACCUGCCGGCCCCGCCUCCUUCCGGCUCACCGCCGCCCCAGCCUCCUCUGGGCGCGGGGCCGUCCACGCCCCAGCCUCCUUCCGGUGGCACGAGGCCACCGCCGCCCCCGCCUCCUCCUGGCCCGCCGGCGACCCUGCCUCUUCCUGCCGAGGCCGCCUCCUCCUCCAGGCACGUCGCGCCCGUGCCUCCUUCCGGCGCGAGGCCGCCGCCUCUUCCAGGCACGCCGGUGCCCCUGCCUCCUUCCGACUCAAGGGCACUUCCGCCACAAGGAAGUAACCCUCCUUCAUCCACCGCCCGAUGUGUCGCCGCCCCCAAUGAUCCACUCCCUUCCUCUGGCUCCUGGUCGAUGAUCAUGGCCCAUCCUGCUGCUUGCCUCCUUCCUCGCGUAUGCAUAAAAAAAUAGGUUGAAUUUCACCCUGCAUCCCCGACGUAGCGCUUCUCUGGCUCCUCCCCCGCUUGCUGCCAGGUCCGUCUCUCCUUCCUCCCCUGCUUGCCGUCAUGUGCGGCGUUGGACGUGGCUACUUGAUGGAGUGAAGCUGGCCUCCGAGCACCGUCAGUUGCACUGCACCCUACAAAAAAAGAACAGCCGCAAGUUCAGAAUCAGAAAAAUUAGAAGUUCAAGAAGAACAAAGGCACUGCCUUCACUCGUGUGCUUGCAAACUGCUAGGUUGUAGCUCGUAUGUUGUUUGCAACUAUCUUCAAUUUCUUCAGUAGCUGGUACACACUUUGCCAAAAUCUAGUACUUUCAGAAUGGUAAAGUUGAUAGUUGGCCUACAGGGACAACCAUGUUGAUGGCGAUUGAAAAAGGAUUCUGAAAUAAUAUUAUUGAGACUGAAGACCAAGUUUGAUAAUGCAGACCAAGUUUGAUAAUGCACGAUGUCAGAGGAUUCCAGGGCUUUCUCUGAGGUGGUUGAUGGCUUCCGAGAAAUGCGUUCAUAUCUCACAAGUUUCAGGGGUUCAAGUUCAUCUAUAUAAGAAGGAAUUCCAAUUUUGUUGCACAUCUGUGUGUGGAAGAGGCGCUGAAACUUGAUGUGCUUACUAUUUCUUUUCUUGUAACACCUAGGUACAUCACAUGGUUUCAAUCACAGUUAUUUUUCACUGCCAUGGCCCGACACCUCCUCCAUCUCGGUGCCACCGUCAUGACCUAGCCUACAUUUGCUGGUUGCUUCUAGCUGAUGUUGUUGCGUCCUGCCUCGCCGUCUAACUGAUGUUAGUGCGCCGCUGCUGCAGUUCAGCUAGAGUGGGAGAAAGAUCUCUUUGAGAGUUUAGCUGCUGUUGCUGUCUUUAAUUUUUGUUUUUGAACUUGUUGGUUAAAGAUAAUGAUGUUGCUUUCUACAUAUGGCCUUCCUGUGGAUGUAUCAUUCUCCA